CUACAGUAUAUGCAAUCUCAAAUGUUUUAAUUACGUAUCGAAGACGUCAAACGUUACAAAUACAUAUCAUCUUUUUAUCUCUAAGAAAUCUUGCAAGAGUAACAAAAAAUAUUCCAUCCGUCGUAGUACUGUCAAUUUAGAUCAACAUACACAGCCAUUUUGCCGAUCAGAAUGUAUAGCCAUUCGAGAGACAAGGACUUCUUUAUUUUUAAAAUUCACUUAUAUUUCGUGAUUCUGUGAAUUUUAUCAGUGUAUUUUAUCGUUCAAAAAGAAAAAAACUUUAAGGUGGAUUUCUCGAUACGUGUACAGCUUGUUUGAUAGCAACAGUGUUUGCUCGACGAUAUUCUUGUGGAACUGUUGCAUGUAACGUCUAACCUGACUUUUAUUUUCAAAAGACAUUUCGAAUUGAAGUCUUUUUUACUAGGAAUGUAAACAAAUACGGAGAUACAUUAGUUUUUAUUUGCAAUUUACAUUUAUGUUUUCGAUAAACUUAUUACGAUUUGUGAAGUAGUAAAAGUGGUACCGUAAUUUUCUACGUUUAUAGUUUUCGUAAGUUUAUUGAUUAAAACGUAAUGCAAUUUAAUCGAGGAUUUUUUUUUACUUUUUGUUUUUAAAAAAAAUAUGUGCUUUUUAUGUAUAAUCAUGAGUGAAUUGUGAUUAAAAAAGUCGAUAACCUGUACAAAAUUGAUAGUGCGUUUAGUAGUGUGGUUGUAUUAGUAAAAAAAAAUUUAUUGAAACGUAGAUAUUAUAAAUAUAAUAUUUUAAAAUUUAGUGAUCUGCUACAAUUUUAAUGGUUAAGAAAUAGUACUCCAAUCGUUUUAAUGACAAAUAUAUUCUUCGAGAUAAAAGUAAUAAGAUCAAUAAGAAGCAUUUAAUAAAAAUGAUUUUGUUAUUUAAAAAGACAUUGGAAUGACUAAAAUUAAACAGAUACAAGAUCAAUGAUUGAUCUUCUUCAAAAAUUGUAUAAAUGUA